CCGAGUUUGGCUCUGGGGCGGGGGGAAUUUGGGAUUUUCCUGGCAUUUCUGCUGGCGGGGACGGCUCCGGGACACACCGGCUGAGGCUGUGGGAGCUUUCCGCGCUCCCGGAGCUUUUCCAUGCUCCCGGAUAUUCCUGGACAUGAAAUCCCGCCUGGAUCUGGCCGUGCUGGGAUUGUCCAAGGUGUGUGAUCCGUCUGGAACCGGGACAAGCUGACUGGGCUGGGAAUGUAAAAACAGGAAAACGGCUGAGCUCAUCCCAGCUCAUCCCAGUCCUCUCCCUGUCCCCUGCGGGGUGAGUCUGGCCAGGGCUGGGGCAGGAUGUGCUAGCCCGGGAAUGCUGUCGGGAU